GAGAGAGAGAGAGAGAGAGAGAGAGAGAGAGAAAAUCGUGGUAAUCGUUUUUUUUUUCUCUUCUCAUACAAUGGUAACCAGUGUCCUCUCUGAGGCACGGUUCUUCCAACCCCUCUUUAGGAGAAGUAUCUUCUAUUAAUUGUUAUUUUUAUUUAUUUUUUUUUAAUCCUAAUUAUGCUUAAAGAUCCACUUAAGAUGCUAGGAUAAUCGUGCUCUAACGUGAGAGAACAGAAGACGAUACUUUUUAAUGUAUCAUCUAAUAAAAUGAUAGAGCAAAAAAAAAUUUUGUUCAAUCAUCA
rnacentral:lncRNA from 1 species